AAAAGUCAAUCGCAGUAACAGGAAGUAGUUUACACGAUGAAGAGUAAUACUGGCCAUUCAUUGGUGGGGAAGAUCUGAGACGCGCAGAGACAGAGAGACAGGAAGUAGAGUGUGCGUGCGGUGUAUAACACUUGGCUGACAGCGAAAAAAGUCCGCGUAAAGUUUGCGCAAACAAAUACGAGUUGACGUGUGAAGAUUAUCUACUCAACAGUCUUCACCAGGGUAUCCCCUCCACAUAUGGCUCUUCGGUGUUUCUAUCCGACGUUCAUCAUACCGUUGUUCAGGUGUUCGUAUUUAGCUUCAGGUGUGCGUGUGUUAGCUCAUUAGCAUACGCCGUUUAUUUUAUUAGCAUUCAUUAGCAUAGCGAGUGGACACUUAGCCGCCGCAUAGCUUAUCGAGCUGGCGUUGACGGCUUUAUAGUGCAUGUGUUUUCGACGUGGACACCUUGAGGAUUUAAAGAGACUGUGCCGGAGCUGUCCAGCUAACGGGUCAGCGCUCCUCCUCCUUCUGCUUCGCGGGAGAGACCUCGCCAUCUCUGGACAUCCGGUCCGCCGACGCCACCUAGAACUUCGCUCGCGGGAGACCGACAGACCGGUGACGUCAUCUGUUGACAGACACCUGCCGGCCACGUGUUCCUCGACUCAGAACCGAGCUAAGGUUCACCUUCAGACUCCUGUUUACCAUGCACAACCUGCUUCGUCCUUGUCUGCCAUUCAGUUGGAAGCCUCAAUCUCUCAAAGAAUACUGCCUCAACAACCUAUCCACCAACUCCUCUGUUUGAACUCUAUACCUGUUCAGCUCCUGGACCCGGGAUCAGUUUGACCCAUGCCCGCAGUCCUGAUCAGUUCAUGAUAUUGCGAAAAGGUUUACCCAAGAAUGUAUUUUCCCCUUUAGCAAUCUACUGCAAAGAAAUAUUGACAGUGUACAGAACCACAAGGAGUUUUAGAGUCAUGAGCACUGCCCUGACGUUUUAAGGUUUUUAAACUUUUAAGUUUACCUAAAGCAUAACAGAAGUGUAAAAGCAUCAACGGAUAUUUUUACUGUAGACAUGCAUAUUGAGCAUGGCAAGCUGCAUUGUCCUACUGCUCAUACCUCAAAUGGCAUGAAUUCAGUGCUCGCCAACAUCUUCAUUCUAGUCAUUCUUCUAAAUUACUCAAGUAUAGAAGAAAUGCUGAUCAAAAUGGCUUUAUUAUAGCUCACACUGUGUUUGAUUUUCUUUUCACUUAUAUUCGUGCCCUUAAUAUAUCCCUAGAAUACAACUUUUCUAGAAUAUACUUUCAACUGUCAGACAGUGCAUCUUGCUGAAAAUAAAGUCUAAGCCCUUUGUGUUUCUCUGUGGCCUGUCAGAGGCCGCUUGCUUUAGCCUCUCCAUCCCUCUGAGCAAGUAGGGAUCAUUAAUGAAGUGGCCUUCUCAUGGAUAUUGACUAGCCUGUCAGCUGGCCUGCCACACUCACUAAUAGGAGCUAUUGGUCUUGGCUUAAGACCUGACAGAGGAGAGGCUGAAAAAGAAGAAAAUGAGUGAGCGUGUUCCUUCACCUCAAGGUGGGUUUUGGGUUUUAGCCUUCAGCCAGCAAAGUUUGAGUCUGGGCUCAAGAAGACGGGAUACAGCCAAGGAUUUCUCUAUAAAUGUCAAGAAAACUUCCUACUCUAGAAACGAAUGCUAAGUGAGAGGUGGAAAUGCAGUCUUAAAAUGCCAAAAGUGCUUGUAGAAUGCAAGCAAAGCCACAGUGGGUGUUAUAGAAGCACAGCAAGCCAAGGAGAGCUCAUUAAAAUAGAUGUGAUGGUAAAUUGGCACUCCUUAGAGCCGGAGGGUUCUCCAGGACUUUUUUUGUGAAUUCAGGUAAUAAUAUGCGACACAUUCAUAUUAAUAAAUGGCCAUGGUUGAUAUAACAAUGGUUCACUCUAAUCAGUUCCAUUCAGUCCAGUUCUGUGACUCGGCUGAAAAGAACUGAACAUCUUUCAGUACACUUCAUAUGCCAUUACUAGGAAAUGUGCUGUACAGACAGGAAGACAUGUUGGGUGUUGAUUGGAACAAACAGGCAAAUUAUCUCGUUGGCUUCUG
rnacentral:lncRNA from 1 species